rnacentral:rRNA from 1 species
GACGAACGCUGGCGGCGCGCCUAACACAUGCAAGUCGAACGAGCGAGAGAGAGCUUGCUUUCUCAAGCGAGUGGCGAACGGGUGAGUAACGCGUGAGGAACCUGCCUCAAAGAGGGGGACAACAGUUGGAAACGACUGCUAAUACCGCAUAAGCCCACGGCUCGGCAUCGAGCAGAGAGAAAAGGAGCAAUCCGCUUUGAGAUGGCCUCGCGUCCGAUUAGCUAGUUGGUGAGGUAAUGGCCCACCAAGGCGACGAUCGGUAGCCGGACUGAGAGGUUGAACGGCCACAUUGGGACUGAGACACGGCCCAGACUCCUACGGGAGGCAGCAGUGGGGAAUAUUGCACAAUGGGGGAAACCCUGAUGCAGCGACGCCGCGUGGAGGAAGAAGGUCUUCGGAUUGUAAACUCCUGUUGUUGAGGAAGAUAAUGACGGUACUCAACAAGGAAGUGACGGCUAACUACGUGCCAGCAGCCGCGGUAAAACGUAGGUCACAAGCGUUGUCCGGAAUUACUGGGUGUAAGGGAGCGCAGGCGGGAAGACAAGUUGGAAGUGAAAUCCAUGGGCUCAACCCAUGAACUGCUUUCAAAACUGUUUUUCUUGAGUAGUGCAGAGGUAGGCGGAAUUCCCGGUGUAGCGGUGGAAUGCGUAGAUAUCGGGAGGAACACCAGUGGCGAAGGCGGCCUACUGGGCACCAACUGACGCUGAGGCUCGAAAGUGUGGGUAGCAAACAGGAUUAGAUACCCUGGUAGUCCACACUGUAAACGAUGAUUACUAGGUGUUGGAGGAUUGACCCCUUCAGUGCCGCAGUUAACACAAUAAGUAAUCCACCUGGGGAGUACGACCGCAAGGUUGAAACUCAAAGGAAUUGACGGGGGCCCGCACAAGCAGUGGAGUAUGUGGUUUAAUUCGACGCAACGCGAAGAACCUUACCAAGUCUUGACAUCCCUUGACGAUGCUGGAAACAGUAUUUCUCUUCGGAGCAAGGAGACAGGUGGUGCAUGGUUGUCGUCAACUCGUGUCGUGAGAUGUUGGGUUAAGUCCCGCAACGAGCGCAACCCUUAUGGUCAGUUACUACGCAAGAGGACUCUGGCCAGACUGCCGUUGACAAAACGGAGGAAGGUGGGGAUGACGUCAAAUCAUCAUGCCCUUUAUGACUUGGGCUACACACGUACUACAAUGGCGUUAAACAAAGAGAAGCAAGACCGCGAGGUGGAGCAAAACUCAGAAACAACGUCCCAGUUCGGACUGCAGGCUGCAACUCGCCUGCACGAAGUCGGAAUUGCUAGUAAUCGCAGAUCAGCAUGCUGCGGUGAAUACGUUCCCGGGCCUU